UACGUAGGGUGCGCGCGUUAAUCGGAAUUACUGGGCAUAAAGCGUGCGCAGGCGGUUUUGUAAGCCAGAUGUGAAAGCCCCGGGCUUAACCUGGGAAUGGCAUUUGGGACUGCAAGGCUUGAGUGCGGCAGAGGAGACUGGAAUUCCUGGUGUAGCAGUGAAAUGCGUAGAUAUCAGGAGGAAUACCGAUGGCGAAGGCAGGUCUCUGGGCUGACACUGACGCUCAUGCACGAAAGCGUGGGGAGCAAACAGG
rnacentral:rRNA from 1 species